AAAACUACAAUUGAUGGCCUGAGCAUUGAGGAAACAAAAGAAAUGAGGAAGAGAGGACUAACUGUUCCUGCUUUAACAAAACUUGCAAAAAAUGGUUAUUAUGGUAGUCUGGUACCCAUGGUCAGAGAUGCUUUACUCGUCAAUGAGCUGGUUCGGAUAGACUGCCGGGGCCUUGAGAAGAGUGAUUACAAGAAAAUAGGCUGCAAACUAAGGGACUCGGUUCCAUGUAUCCUUGUAACAUUUGAGAAGGAGCAAAUUGUUUUGUGGCGAGG
rnacentral:misc_RNA from 1 species